rnacentral:rRNA from 1 species
AACGUAGGUGGCGAGCGUUAUCCGGAUUUACUGGGCGUAAAGCGUGUGCAGGCGGGGUGACAAGUGGGGUCUGAAAUCUCCGGGCUAAACCUGGAGGGGUUAUGCCAGACUGUCAUUCUAGAGUGCGAGAGAGGGGCGUGGAAUUCCGGGUGUAGUGGUGAAAUGCGUAGAGAUCCGGAGGAACCCCAGAGGCGAAGGCGGCGCCCUGGCUCGCAACUGACGCUCAGACACGACAGCAUGGGGAGCGAACGGG